CUAGCUGGUCUGAGAGGAUGACCAGCCACACUGGAACUGAGACACGGUCCAGACUCCUACGGGAGGCAGCAGUGGGGAAUAUUGCACAAUGGGCGCAAGCCUGAUGCAGCCAUGCCGCGUGUAUGAAGAAGGCCUUCGGGUUGUAAAGUACUUUCAGCGGGGAGGAAGGGAGUAAAGUUAAUACCUUUGCUCAUUGACGUUACCCGCAGAAGAAGCACCGGCUAACUCCGUGCCAGCAGCCGCGGUAAUACGGAGGGUGCAAGCGUUAAUCGGAAUUACUGGGCGUAAAGCGCACGCAGGCGGUUUGU
rnacentral:rRNA from 1 species